rnacentral:miRNA from 1 species
UAAUGAUGACGAUGAUGACGACGAUGGUAAUGAUGAUAAAGAUAUUGGUAGUGAUAAGCACCUCAUCAAAUAUCAUCAUCGUUACCUCCAUCA